rnacentral:rRNA from 1 species
AACUUCCGGGAAACCGGGGCUAAUACCGGAUGGUUGUUUGAACCGCAUGGUUCAAACAUAAAAGGUGGCUUCGGCUACCACUUACAGAUGGACCCGCGGCGCAUUAGCUAGUUGGUGAGGUAACGGCUCACCAAGGCGACGAUGCGUAGCCGACCUGAGAGGGUGAUCGGCCACACUGGGACUGAGACACGGCCCAGACUCCUACGGGAGGCAGCAGUAGGGAAUCUUCCGCAAUGGACGAAAGUCUGACGGAGCAACGCCGCGUGAGUGAUGAAGGUUUUCGGAUCGUAAAGCUCUGUUGUUAGGGAA